UACGUAGGCAGCGAGCGUUGUUCGGAAUUACUGGGCGUAAAGAGUGUGUAGGCGGUGCUCUAAGUUCGGUGUGAAAUCUCCUGGCUCAACUGGGAGGGUGCGCCGGAAACUGGAGUGCUUGAGCGUGGGAGAGGAAAGCGGAAUUCCUGGUGUAGCGGUGAAAUGCGUAGAUAUCAGGAGGAACACCGAUGGCGAAGGCAGGUCUCUGGGCCACUACUGACGCUGAGAAGCGAAAGCAUGGGGAGCGAACAGG
rnacentral:rRNA from 1 species